AGGAAUAUUUCCUAAUACAAAAACAACUAGAGCACAUUUCCAUUUUUGUUCCUCUUCCACGACUUCUUCUUUGAGCAACUGACCCACUGAUUUACCGUUGAUAAUCGUCGGUGGGAUAUACUCUAGGGACAUGCCAUUAGCAGCAAGUCUAUUUUUCUGGAACAGAUUUGCCCAUACCUUUGGUUCCUCUUUGGUCUCCUUC
rnacentral:lncRNA from 1 species